rnacentral:lncRNA from 1 species
AGAAGAGCCAAUAUUUCAGUUUGAGUCUGAAGGCAGGAAAAGACUGAUGUCCCAUCUCAAAGCAGUCAGGCAGAGGGAGUUCCCUCUUGUUCUCACUCAAGGAAGGAUGGCGCAGUGCUCCCGCUGUUCCGAGGCUCAGCUACCCUGAGGGAGGCAGGGAAUUUUGAUCAGCUUCUGAAGAAUCACCUCAUCUCUCCCCGCAGAGAGCACAGAGCACAGGACUUCACGUUAUGUCAACAUCUCUUGCAAAAGCCCAGCUCCUAGAGAGCAGGAGCCUUCCCAGACUGUGUCAAAUUACCUCGGGGAUGGAGAGACUUACAUGGCAUUAAUAGAAAUCAAAUGGCAGAGCUCGGGUUUCUGAUGAGUCUCCUGAGGUUCAGAAGGGUGAGAUGACACAUUCAAGGUCACAUGGCUCAUUUGUGUUGGAGUCAGAAGUUUCCAGAUUUCUUGACUUUUAGUCCAAGGAGCAGUCCCUGUGCAUGUGUCAGAGUUGAACAAGCCAGGUUCCAGGAGAGCAGAUGGUCCUGAAGAAGGUCUUCCUGGCUGAUCUGAGAGGUGACACAGAAGAAUAAAGAAGGGAAGGAUGAGAUGAGCUUCUGAGUUUGGAAACUGCAUUGAUGUUGAAGAUGGUCUCAAAGUUGUCAGGUGGAAGUUCAGAGAAAGACAAGAUUAUAGACAAAA